AUUGAACGCUGGCGGCAUGCUUUACACAUGCAAGUCGAGCGGGGACUUCGGUCCUAGCGGCGAACGGGUGAGGAAUGCUUGGGAAUCUGCCCAGUAGCGGGGGAUAACGUUUCGAAAGGAACGCUAAUACCGCAUACGCCCUACGGGGGAAAGGGGGGGCUCUUCGGACCUCUCACUAUUUGAUGAGCCCAAGUCGGAUUAGCUAGUUGGUGGGGUAAAGGCCUACCAAGGCGACGAUCCGUAGCUGGUCUGAGAGGAUGAUCAGCCACACUGGAACUGAGACACGGUCCAGACUCCUACGGGAGGCAGCAGUGGGGAAUAUUGGACAAUGGGCGAAAGCCUGAUCCAGCCAUGCCGCGUGUGUGAAGAAGGCCUUCGGGUUGUAAAGCACUUUAAGCGAGGAGGAAUGGCUCUUGGUUAAUAACCUUGAGCAGUGACGUUACUCGCAGAAUAAGCACCGGCUAACUCUGUGCCAGCCGCCGCUGUAA
rnacentral:rRNA from 1 species